AUCUGUUAAGACACUGAACAUAUGCAAGACAUGCCUUAGCCUCACCUUUAAGUCACAUGUGUGAGCAGAACCUUGACAGUCACAGCACAUUCUUACAUCACCUCCAUUUAUUAGGCCACAUUCUGCUAAGCUAGGUUGUCACCACAUUUACCACAAUCACAUCCGAUCUGUCUGUUUACACGAAUCAAGGAAUUGGGCGACUAUGUUUUAGUGAGUACACAUUAAAGCAACUGCAAGACCCGGAAGCACUGAACAGUUCUUUCAACAUGGUGCUGUUCAGCAUGCUAAUCAGCCUCCGUGAAUCCACUGGCUCCGUCAGUCAAUAAGCUGUCCACGGACCUCGGCCCAAGCGAAAAGCCUUAGGGGCAAACAACUCACAUCCCCAGAUCUCAUGAAACCUCAGCGAUCCUUCUCAGAAGUGCAGGCAGAAAAAAAUGCUGAAAUUAUAAACUACCCUGCAGUACAGAGAUCGUGACCAUACGUUAUUUCUUCAGAAGCUGUUAUCCUGACCUUUCAGAGUCUGAUAUAAUUCCUCCCUUCCAGAUCCUACCACAACUAUGGGUUUGAACAAUUUGAAUAAAAUGCCCCAUGAGCACUGA